rnacentral:miRNA from 1 species
AUCGCGUUUGGUUACGUC